GCUAUAUGAGGACACAGGGAGAAGAGAGCCAUCUACAAGCCAAGAAGCGAGCCCUCUCCAGAAACCGAUCCUGCUGGUACCUUGAUCUUGGACUUCCAGCCUCCAGAACCAGGAGAAAAUAAAUGUCUGCUGUUUAAGCCGCUCAGUCUGUGGUUUCUUCUUAUGGCAGCCCGAGAUGACUAACACACCAGUCAUGCCGGAUUUAACAGCAGGAGACAGUGCUAACGCACUGCUGAAGUGGCUCUUGAAACUUGGAGAAAGAUGGCAGAUGACAGAAGAAGGGAUCAAAAGACAGAGAAGUGGGCAUGGACCGGAGCAGGCAGAAAACCCACUGGGUGACAGCGUUCCACAAGACACCACCAAGGACGUCCCACUGACCCAGCACCGGCUUCACCAGCUCUUUGGGUUCCUCAUGGUUCCAUGUGGUUCUUCAGAGCCUCCAUUGGUGGCUCUAACCUCCCUGAGGUCCUCGGAGUGCCCUCCACUGGAGCAGUGGCUCCUCUAUCGGACCCAUUUCACUGAGGCUCAGCGAG
rnacentral:lncRNA from 1 species